AGGAACCGUGCCUGAAUGUUUAAGGACCACUUUGAUGUAGUGACUUACGAGGGUUAAAACCCCUCCAGUUCCUA
rnacentral:tRNA from 1 species